GUAUGAUACAAAAUAAUAAUAAGUACAAAUCUAAAUUCAGAAUUAAUCAUCAGAUAAAGUAAAUAUAGACCAGGAUAAUACUUUCUGCAAUAUGACGAUUUAAUUUGGCAUUUAUUUUUGUGACUCUUGGAAAAGUGAAGGUCAGAAUUAAUAAACGAGAUUCUUAAAAUAUAGUAUGGAAAUGGGGAAUGUGUCAAAGAGUCAACAACUGGGCCAGUGAGUUAAAUAUACAACCUAAGGCUACCAAUAGGUAUAUUAUGUAGAAGAAUAUCUUAAUUAAAAUUAGAGUUUUUACAAUUGCAGCAUUUUUCACUUCAAUAUACAUUGUAUCAAUAUCAAAUCAGUGGAGGAUCCAAGGGGGGUGGGUCGGGGGGGUUGGAACCCCACCUUUUUUUUGGACGAUCAAUGCAUUUGAAUGGGAGCAUAUAGUUGGAACCCUCCUUUACUCUGGGUUGGGAACCCCCCCUUUUUUUAAAAUGGCUGGAUCCGCCCCUGCAAAUUUUACAGUAUCUAUAUUUAGCAAAGUCAAUAUUCUCUAUGUAUUCAGUAUUCAUUGAUAUAAAUUAUCUAAAGAAAGCUAAUUUUGGGAUGUAAAAAUAAAAAUAAAAAUAUCUGUUAACAUCAUAGAUUCAAUACAAAUAUUAAUCAUUAUAAUAUAGGAACAAUUGUCUUGUUUUUAUAGUUUUGUAAUGUUUAGAUACAUAAUAUCAUUUUUUUUUACAAAAUCAAACAAAUGCUAAAUAACCAAAUAAAAGAUAUUUAUCAAAGAAAA
rnacentral:lncRNA from 1 species